AAGCUGCAUAUAAUGCAGCUGUGUCAGCAUGCUUGUCCCUAUCCUAUAACUGUUGGAGUCUGGCUUGAGAAUCCAGUGAGCUGCUUGUCAGUGAGGCGCAAACCAUGUGUGAGCUGGUCCUGGUCGAGGAGGCUCAAGGUCCAGGACUGAUAUGGCUGGUUCGACACCUGCAGAAUCAAGUUUGUUCUAUAUGCGUUGGGCAAGAAACCUGGUGGUUCCAUGAGUACAAACAAAAGUCUACCUCAAGUGAAAGAACCAUCCAGGUCAAAGGAGAGAAGAUGGGCCAGGCCUGGGCUCUUCAUCAACGUAUUUGUUUUGGUAUGUAAUGCUUGUCCUGCAGGCUGUGUAAUGGCUCUAAUAAAAUGUCUUUCUAACUGUAUAGCAUGCCUGAGUUGUCUGCCCUGGAGAAUAAUUUGGAUCCUUAUUUGCUGUUGCCCAAUGUGUUUGUAUUGCUAAAUAACAUUGGCCUGUGUAUGCAAGAAGAUGCAAUCUAGUUAGUGUUUCAAAGAAUUUUUUAGAAUGAGUUGGGCAAAGCAGUGUUGGGAUUCCACGCAGGACGGUCCAGCGAAGACAACAGGCUCCUGCCUCAGGUAGUGGUCCUUCU
ensembl:lncRNA